GAUCCUGGCUCAGGACGAACGCUGGCGGCGUGCCUAACACAUGCAAGUCGAACGGAAGUUAGAGCUUUGGUUUUAACUUUAGUGGCGAACGGGUGAGUAACGCGUGAGGAACCUGCCUUUCAGUGGGGGACAACAGUUGGAAACGACUGCUAAUACCGCAUGACACUUUUGGGGGACAUCCCUUAAAAGUCAAAGCUUUAUGUGCUGAAAGAUGGCCUCGCGUCUGAUUAGCUAGUUGGUGAGGUAACGGCUCACCAAGG
rnacentral:rRNA from 1 species